AAAUUGAAGAGUUUGAUCAUGGCUCAGAUUGAACGCUGGCGGCAGGCCUAACACAUGCAAGUCGAACGGUAACAGGAAGCAGCUUGCUGCUUCGCUGGCGAGUGGCGGACGGGUGAGUAAUGUCUGGGAAACUGCCUGAUGGAGGGGGAUAACUACUGGAAACGGUAGCUAAUACCGCAUAACGUCGCAAGACCAAAGAGGGGGACCUUCGGGCCUCUUGCCAUCGGAUGUGCCCAGAUGGGAUUAGCUAGUAGGUGGGGUAACGGCUCACC
rnacentral:rRNA from 1 species